rnacentral:lncRNA from 1 species
GUGGGUUGGUUUUGAAAAACUCCCAAAAUUAGGAUGUCUUUCGCUCAGCACAAAAAACAAUAUAAAGAAGAGUUAACUCUCUUCUAGUGAGGACACGUCAGCAUCCACGUCAGUAAGUCGAUGGCCCUGAGAGCGAUACGUGUCCAAGUUUCUGAAUUGUUUUUUUGUUUGGCGAAACAAUUGAUUUUGGGCUUGGACAAUUUAGUCACUUGGACUGCAACAAAAAUAUUUGAUGCCCAACAUUUUUUGUCUUUAUUUUCAACACCGUGACUAAUCAUUUCUAGGGUUCCAACCAUUUUUGAACCGAUAAUGGAGCCUAAAUUACGUU